rnacentral:rRNA from 1 species
UACGAAGGGGGCGAGCGUUGUUCGGAUUUACUGGGCGUAAAGGGCGCGCAGGCGGCCGCUCAAGUCAGGCGUGAAAGCCCCGGGCUUAACCUGGGAACUGCGUCUGGGACUGAGUGGCUAGAGUUCGGGAGAGGAGAGUGGAAUUCCCAGUGUAGAGGUGAAAUUCGUAGAUAUUGGGAAGAACACCGGUGGCGAAGGCGGCUCUCUGGACCGAGACUGACGCUGAGGCGCGAAAAGCGUGGGGGAGCAAACAGGAUUAGAAACCCU